GGCCUUCGGGUUGUAAACCUCUUUUAGUAGGGAAAGAAGCGAAAGUGACGGUACCUGCAGAAAAAGCACCGGCUAACUACGUGCCAGCAGCCGCGGUAAUACGUAGGGUGCGAGCGUUGUCCGGAAUUAUUGGGCGUAAAGAGCUCGUAGGCGGUUUGUCACGUCUGCUGUGAAAACCCGAGGCUCAACCUCGGNCCUGCAGUGUNNACCGGGCAGACUAGAGUGCGGAAGGGGAGANCGGAAUUCCUGGUGUAGCGNUGGAAUGCNCAGAUAUCAGGAGGAACACCGAUGNCGANGGCAGUUCUCUGGGCCGUAACUGACGCUGAGGAGCGAAAGCUGGGGGGAGCGAACAGGAUUAGAUACCCUGGUAGUCC
rnacentral:rRNA from 1 species